GUCAGCUGCUGCCGCCGACGCCAUGCCGCUGCUGCUGGGGGAUUGGGCCGGGGUCUCCACCACCGACCAAGGGGAGCGGGCUCCGCUCGGCGCCGCUUUCUGCAACCUGGCCAUCAGCCCCACGUCGCCUGCCUGGAGGGGCGAGGAGGACAAGGGGGCCAAGUCUUCCUCCGGGGACAUUGGCCCUGUGGAUUAUCAAGAGUUUGUAGUUGUCAUUGAAUCCAGGCUGAGGAUGGAAGGUGUGGAACUUAAAGAAGAAUGGCAAGAUGAAGAUUUUCCAAUACCUUUACCAGAAGAUGAUAAUAUUGAAGCAGAUAUACUAGCUAUAACUGGACCAGAGGACCAGCCUGGUUCCCUAGAAGUUAAUGAAAAUAAAGUGAGAAAGAAACUAAUGGCUCCAGACAUUAGCCUGACACUGGAUCCUAGUGAUGGCUCUGUAUUGUCAGAUGAUUUGGAUGAAAGUGGGGAGAUUGACUUAGAUGGCUUAGAUGCACCAUCUGAGAAUAGUAACGAGUUUGAGUGGGAAGAUGAUCUUCCAAAACCCAAGACUACUGAAGUAAUUAGGAAAGGCUCAAUUACUGAAUAUACAGCAGCAGAGGAAAAAGAAGAUGGACGACGCUGGCGUAUGUUCAGGAUUGGAGAACAGGACCACAGGUUUGACAUGAAAGCAAUUGAACCCUAUAAAAAAGUUAUGAGCCAUGGGGGAUAUUAUGGGGAUAGAUUAAAUGCCAUUGUUGUGUUUGCUGUCUGUUUCAUGCCUGAAAGUAGUCAACCUAACUAUAGAUACCUGAUGGACAAUCUCUUUAAAUAUGUUAUUGGCACUUUGGAGCUAUUAAUAGCAGAGAACUACAUGAUAGUUUAUUUAAAUGGUGCAACAACUCGAAGAAAAAUGCCCAGUCUGGGGUGGCUCAGGAAAUGUUAUCAGCAAAUCGAUAGAAGAUUACGGAAAAAUCUAAAAUCCCUAAUCAUUGUCCAUCCUUGUUGGUUUAUCAGAACACUUCUGGCUGUUACAAGGCCAUUUAUUAGCUCAAAAUUCAGCCAAAAAAUUAGCUACGUCUUUAAUUUGGCAGAACUAGCAGAACUUGUCCCCAUGGAAUACGUUGGCAUACCAGAAUGCAUAAAACAAGUUGGUCAAGAGCUUAAUGGAAAGCAAGACGAACCGAAAAAUGAACAGUAAGUUUGGCAUCUAGUCCAAAGAAGACUGAAGAAUGUGCUGAUGAAGCAGUGCCGUUUUUGCAUUCAUAAUGCAUUUAUUGGCCCAUAUUUUUAUGUAACCUGUUACAAGAUUGACUUGACUUUUCUUAAUGGACUUUUGUGUUAUGCAAGGGACUGUUCACUGCUGUACUGGUUUGCAAAUCUCUUGAAUUUAGCUCUUUAAUAGCUAACUGUAUUAUCAUUUUAUAUUUUAUAUUGCUAAAUAGCAGAGAACCACACUUUAUAUACAACAGUUUUUGCAUUUGUUUAUUGAAUGACGCAUCAUCUUCGGUGAAAUAUUUAUAUGCAUAAAAGGCAAAGGAAAGAAAUAAUAUAUAUUUUUAUGUUUUUGAGCAAUAUUUUUUAACGUGUAACUGUCAUGUGGAAGAAAUAUGCAGGUAUAUAAGAGCAUGAUUUUGUAAAGUGCAUAUUAGAAUUUUUGUUUUUGUAAAUGGUUAAAUACAUUUCCUAGGUAACUUAGAAAAUUAAGUUUCUCAUAAGGCAACGAACAGUUAAACUGAUUCUCAUGAAUACCCAAAGAUCAUGUACAUAAUCAAAGUGUAUUAGUACCAUCCCAAGGUUUUUUUCUCAUUUAACAUACAUCUUUCAUAAUUCAGCAAGUACAAAUGCAGGCGCAUUGCACACUUUUUUCUUUUUAAAGACAAGUCAAAAAGCCAUUUUUAGAACUAGAGGAUUUAAGACAUUAGGAAUGGGGGUUUGUAAAUAUGUAUAUAUGGGUCAUUUUAUUUUCUGACCCAAAGUCAGAACUUUAUAAAAAUCUUGAGUUUGUUCACUAAUAUGAAAUAAGCUGUGUGUCCAGGGUAUUGCUCCCCUGAAUGUGUGUGAGUGCUGUGUAGUAUUGCAGAGAAUAUGAUGAGUCAUUCACUGUCACAACUUUUUCUGUAGAAAACAGGGGCUGCUUUUUAAACUGCUCUCACUGUGGGCAUUUUACCAAAAUACUUCCAUAUCAAUUAUUUGAACUCAGUAGUUGUUUGACCUAAUUAGAUGUGGUGUUUGUUCAAAUUUCUAUGAAAUCAUGUUUGACAAUAGUGUAAAUUAGGUUAAUUCUGUAAGUCUUAGAGAGCAUCAUGAUAUUGUGCUGUUUUGGAUAACACAUUUGAUACAAGCAUUUAAAUGGUUUCAUUUGGUAAGUACCAUUACAUUGAAAUAAAUUGUAUUUGUGCCUUAAAAAAAAAA